rnacentral:rRNA from 1 species
UGGGGAAUUUUGGACAAUGGGCGAAAGCCUGAUCCAGCCAUGCCGCGUGAGUGAAGAAGGCCUUCGGGUUGUAAAGCUCUUUUAGUCGGAAAGAAAGAGUUGCAAUGAAUAAUUGUGAUUUAUGACGGUACCGACAGAAAAAGCACCGGCUAACUACGUACCAGCAGCCGCGGUAAUACGUAGGGUGCGAGCGUUAAUCGGAAUUACUGGGCGUAAAGGGUGCGCAGGCGGUCUUGCAAGUCAGAUGUGAAAGCCCCGGGCUUAACCUGGGAAUUGCGUUUGAAACUACAAGACUAGAGUGCAGCAGAGGGGAGUGGAAUUCCAUGUGUAGCAGUGAAAUGCGUAGAGAUGUGGAAGAACACCGAUGGCGAAGGCAGCUCCCUGGGUUGACACUGACGCUCAUGCACGAAAGCGUGGGGAGCAAACA